GAUCAUGGCUCAGAACGAACGCUGGCGGCGCGUUUAAGCAUGCAAGUCGAGCGGCAAGGGCCUUCGGGCCCCUAGAGCGGCGGACGGGUGAGUAACACGUGGACAAUCUGCCCCCCGGCCCGGGAUAGCCCAGGGAAACCUGGAUUAAUACCGGAUGAGACGGGACCCGCGAUGGCGGGAUCCGGGAAAGGCGCUGCGGCGCCGCCGGGGGAUGAGUCUGCGUCCCAUUAGCUAGACGGCGGGGUAACGGCCCACCGUGGCGACGAUGGGUAGCCGGCCUGAGAGGGUGGACGGCCACAUUGGAACUGAGACACGGUCCAGACUCCUACGGGAGGUAGCAGCUAAGAAUCUUCCGCAAUGGGCGAAAGCCUGACGGAGCCGACGCCGCGUGAACGAAGAAGGCCGUGAGGUUGUAAAGUUCUUUUCGGGAGGGGGAACAACCGUGGCAGGGAAUGGCCGCGGGAUGACGUGAAUCCCGGAAUAAGCCCCGGCUAACUACGUGCCAGCCGCGGC
rnacentral:rRNA from 1 species